rnacentral:rRNA from 1 species
GUGCCAGCAGCCGCGGUAAUACGUAGGGUGCAAGCGUUAAUCGGAAUUACUGGGCGUAAAGCGUGCGCAGGCGGUUUUGUAAGUCUGAUGUGAAAUCCCCGGGCUCAACCUGGGAAUUGCAUUGGAGACUGCAAGGCUAGAAUCUGGCAGAGGGGGGUAGAAUUCCACGUGUAGCAGUGAAAUGCGUAGAUAUGUGGAGGAACACCGAUGGCGAAGGCAGCCCCCUGGGUCAAGAUUGACGCUCAUGCACGAAAGCGUGGGGAGCAAACAGGAUUAGAUACCCCAGUAGUCC